rnacentral:rRNA from 1 species
UACCCAGACUCCUACGGGAGGCAGCAGUGGGGGAUAUUGGACAAUGGGGGAAACCCUGAUCCAGCGACGCCGCGUGAGUGAAGAAGUAUUUCGGUAUGUAAAGCUCUAUCAGCAGGGAAGAAAGAAAUGACGGUACCUGAGUAAGAAGCCCCGGCUAACUACGUGCCAGCAGCCGCGGUAAUACGGAGGAUGCGAGCGUUAUCCGGAUUUAUUGGGUUUAAAGGGUGCGCAGGCGGAGGUGCAAGUCAGUGGUCAAAUUGCGGGGCUCAACCCCGUACUGCCGUUGAAACUGCAUCCCUUGAGUGCGCGAGAAGUAUGCGGAAUGCGUGGUGUAGCGGUGAAAUGCAUAGAUAUCACGCAGAACUCCGAUUGCGAGGGCAGCAUACCGGCGCUCAACUGACGCUCAUGCACGAAAGUGUGGGUAUCGAACAGGAUUAGAUACCCUGGUAGAG